CACCCCAGGUUCGAUGGUGAUCGAGGUAAUCUGCUUCACAACCUCGGAAGAGCUGACAAGAUCGAUCACCCUCUUGUGUACACGGAGCUCAAAUCGAUCCCAUGUGUUGGUUCCUGCAAACAACAAAGAAAACAAAAAAGAGGUGAUCAUCAAGUUUCACAAAAAUAGCUGACCACAUCAUAAAUAGAAUGAAAAGCAUUUCUUGGUUCAAUUUAUCAUGAACGUGGUUGACCACCUCUAACUUGACCUUUCUAUAUGCAUGCCUACAACACAAAAACUCUACAAUCGUAAAGGAGCAAGCACACCAGCAGGCCAUCCUUAUGGUGAAGCGGGAAAUUGAAGACUCCAAAACAACUAAAAGCGGUUAAACACAAAUCAUGUUAUCAGAAGGAAUACAAAGCUCUGCUGUUUGAUCAUGUGAUCAGAAGCUUAUUUUGAAAAAAAAAAAAAUAGUGAUUAAACGAACUAAAGUAGCACCAGACCUGGUCGGAAGGACGUAAAUCGAGUCUACAACCCGUUUUCAUUUGUAAACAUGAAGUACAUAGAGUAUGCUUAUCACAGUCUACAUAUCAUGAGGGUAAUAAAUUCUGCUCAACUUCUCCAAGGAGCCUUUCUUUCAAAGCAGUACUCCAUGCCAAGACCAAAUGAAGUUGAAAGAAAUGACAAAAUCCUAACUUGUCAUUAGUAUUGAAGAACUUAAUGGUAAGACCAUAGGCAAAUAGACUGUGCAUCAGUAUUAAAAAACUCGAUGUGUUGAAACUUCAUAAAGAAUAUCUCAGCAUCAACUAAAUUAUCCUCCCAUCAUUUGCACUGUAGAAAUCAUCUGCCAGCAACCACAUACAACUAAGCAUUUAAAGCCAAUUAAUUCCCAGAACCAUCGCUUUACAUUUUGAUACAAGCAAUGAAUGCAAGAAACACUUGCAAAGGCAUUCAAAAAUGGUGUUUAACAAAUACAAAAUACUCUCCUUUUGUUAAGUCUGAAACUUUGCAAAUUUCCAAUAUUUGAAAUGAUGAUCGAGCUUUUACUACACCGGGAAUGUGUUCCUAUUUAUUAAUAGGAUUUUGGUUCACACGACCGACUGCAGCAAGUGCUGACAAAAGUUUUUGUAACCAAUCUUUACAGAAACACUUAGCUAUACAUUUUCUUGCCAAAAUCUAAACAUUAAACCAUAACCCCUUAAACAUGUAUAAAGUGACUUAAAGACAGUGAAUCAUUUUUUUAUCUUCCAAAUUGCCUAGUCGGAUACACUGUCCAAUGUUUUUGUAGCUUGUCGACUACAGUUUAUGGAGCUCAUGAUUUUCUUUAAGAAAACAAAGCAUGUAUAGUUGGCAGUUGCUUGUAGAAUAGAUAUAAAUGCGAAUUUGUACGUGUACAUCUACAUACAUGCAUAUACAUGGACAUAUAUCUACAUACAUAUGUAUACAUGGACUUCACCAAACGCUGCCAUUUGACUAAGAAUCAGCUUUAAAAAGCUCAAUGUCCAGUACUUCAGGGGCAGAAGCUCAUUCUUCCGUUUCUUAAUAUGAAUGUAUGCCAAGUCAACUGAAGAAACCACUAAGCUUCGUAUUGUAGGUAGCUAUACCUUUGGUUUCACCUAUCAUAUACAGCAUCAUUGAUCAGAACUAUCAUCUGUGCUCGAUAAGUAAUUUGCUGGAAAGAAAUACAAUAUUCAAGGGGAUGCUAUGAAAGGACAUGAACAUUUACUAAGCUACUAUGAAAAAUGGGACUUGUAUGACAAUGCAGCAGUUAUUAUACCAGAGAGCAACGAACUGGCAGAUAUAUUGUGAACUAGCAUAUUAUUUUUAGCAUUACCAGAAUGUAACAUUUAUCUCUUGGUGUGGUGAUUCAAUUGUCGUUUAUUCAAAUCCCCAACCAUAAAUAUCACGACUUAUAUCCAAAAUGAGACCAUAUGGACGUUUUGACUAUCACUGCAAGACAAUCAAACAACACAAUUGUAACUUUAACCCCACCAAAGUGUCCUAUACCAAAGAACCCAAACAUACACCAACAGCAUCAACAUCCAAUGCAAUUGAAGCUUUUAAAUGGCAACAUUAAGUUUAUCAUGGGCAUCAAUUCUUGAGGCUAUCAAACUAGUGCGAGGGACGCAAAACUUCAAAGAUUGGCAUGAUGAGCAAAGAAAGGACAUGAUAAGAACAGGGAGGAUUUUAAUACCCUCGCCACAAGGAGAUUUCCUGGUGGUGAUGUGGAGGACCUUGGUGGGCAUUCUCACGGGCCCCUUCACAGUCAGCCGCUUGUCCUUUGCUCCCCUCACUAGAUCCGCACAAACUAUACAACAAAAAACCGAUCAGAAAGGGAAAAGAUGGAGGAAAAAACGAGGGAACCGAAUCGAAGUGAGGCACCGACCCUUCUCGAGAUUCUUGACGUUCUUGGAGGAUAGGGUGAUCCGGAUACGGUGGAGCUGCUCGUGGGGCUCUUCAAGCCCCAACUUGGUCGGUUUCAUUGCUCCGUACGCCGCCGCCAUGAACAAAAAAGACCCAAAUCUAGCACGCACAAGGCAAGACCUAACACCUCGGAGCGGAGAUGGAACUUCCAAAGGAUAGACGAUCCACGAAGCAAGAAGAAGAACGGUUAUCCUUA
rnacentral:lncRNA from 1 species